rnacentral:rRNA from 1 species
UACGUAGGGUGCGAGCGUUAAUCGGAAUUACUGGGCGUAAAGCGUGCGCAGGUGGUUCGUUAAGUCUGCUGUGAAAGCCCCGGGCUCAACCUGGGAAUGGCAGUGGAAACUGGCGAGCUUGAGUGUGGCAGAGGGGGGUGGAAUUCCACGUGUAGCAGUGAAAUGCGUAGAGAUGUGGAGGAACACCGAUGGCGAAGGCAGCCCCCUGGGCUGGCACUGACACUCAGGCACGAAAGCGUGGGGAGCAAACAGG